UGGGGAAUAUUGCACAAUGGGCGAAAGCCUGAUGCAGCAACGCCGCGUGAGGGACGACGGCCUUCGGGUUGUAAACCUCUUUUAGCAAGGAAGAAGCGAAAGUGACGGUACUUGCAGAAAAAGCGCCGGCUAACUACGUGCCAGCAGCCGCGGUAAUACGUAGGGCGCAAGCGUUAUCCGGAAUUAUUGGGCGUAAAGAGCUCGUAGGCGGUUUGUCGCGUCUGCUGUGAAAACCCGAGGCUCAACCUCGGGCCUGCAGUGGGUACGGGCAGACUAGAGUGCGGUAGGGGAGAUUGGAACUCCUGGUGUAGCGGUGGAAUGCGCAGAUAUCAGGAAGAACACCGAUGGCGAAGGCAGAUCUCUGGGCCCGUAACUGACGCUGAGGAGCGAAAGGGUGGGGAGCAAACAGGCUUAGAUACCCUGGUAGUCCACCCCGUAAACGUUGGGAACUAGUUGUGGGUCCAUUCCACGGAUUCCGUGACGCAGCUAACGCAUUAAGUUCCCCGCCUGGGGAGUACGGCCGCAAGGCU
rnacentral:rRNA from 1 species